AGGCACCGCUGGCCACCACACCGAUCACUCCAUCGUGCAUCCCAUCGUCCAGACGCACUACACUCAUGCACACGCCCACCUCUCUCUCCAACUCCUCACCCCCGCCCCACUGCGAUCAAGGCAGAAAAAAAGAGUAUGUUGGCCUUUAUUAACUUUAUUAAUUGUCGCAUGGUUCAUCAAGGAGAUUACCUACACCAACAUUCAUCAACAAGAAAAUACCACGUAUGGCACAAGUUGGUGUGUUAGCUUCCUUGGGUAAUGCUGGAAGGUCUUCACAACCUGGAUAAGUAAAGUUUGAAAGGUUAUAACCUUGACUAACAGAAUAAAAUGAAUUUUAAUGCACACACAUGUACAUACGUCUCUAUUAUUUUCUGCUCUUAUUUUUUAGAAUCAGGUAGCCCACUUUUUCUUUAGAAUCAGAGUGAAGUCCAUAUACUGCUUGCUCACAAGUGCCGGACAAUGGAAAACUUUGACAUCCUCCUGCG
rnacentral:lncRNA from 1 species